CACACACACACGCACACACACACAUACACACACAACUUGACCACACUUGCACAUGCAUGUACAUGCUCAUGGGGAACGACAUGGUAAAAUAUUAAAUCUGUCCAUUAUAAACAAGAAAAAAUAUGAGCUAACUUGUGCAACUUUCUUUCAAUUAUUCAACAUUUAGUCCCAUGUCAAUCACAGGCAUCUAUCAAGCAUAAUGGUGCAUGCCUACUGUCAGCUGCUGUGGAGGCUGAUGCAGGAGGGUCUCCUGAGCCUGGGAUUCCCUAAGAAGCAAUUGAAAUUGGACCAGUGACUCCACUUGGCCUUAUUCAAAAGACUGAGAAGGAAAAGGCUGGCAAGCAAGAAUAUUAAGUCAAUUAAUAAUUCUUCAGUGGUUUCUACAAAUCCAAGAGAAAGCAAUAAAUAUGUAUGUCUCACUUUAAA